rnacentral:rRNA from 1 species
GACGAACGCUGGCGGCGUGCCUAACACAUGCAAGUCGAACGGGGCAGCCUCUUCGGAGGCUGCUUAGUGGCGAACGGGUGAGUAACGCGUGAGGAACCUGCCUUUCAGUGGGGGACAACAGUUGGAAACGACUGCUAAUACCGCAUAACAUCUUCUGGGGACAUCCCCUAAAGAUCAAAGCUUUAUGUGCUGAAAGAUGGCCUCGCGUCUGAUUAGUUAGUUGGUGAGGUAACGGCCCACCAAGGCAACGAUCAGUAGCCGGUCUGAGAGGAUGAACGGCCACAUUGGGACUGAGAUACGGCCCAGACUCCUACGGGAGGCAGCAGUGGGGAAUAUUGGGCAAUGGGGGAAACCCUGACCCAGCAACGCCGCGUGAAGGAAGAAGGCCUUCGGGUUGUAACUUCUUUUAACCUAGGGACGAACACAAUGACGGUACUGGAGAAAAGACAACGGCGUAACUACGUAGCCAGCAG